rnacentral:rRNA from 1 species
AUUGAACGCUGGCGGCAGGCCUAACACAUGCAAGUCGAGCGAGCGGCGGGCGGGUGAGUAAUGUAUGGGGACUGCCCGAUAGAGGGGGAUAACUACAGGAAACGGUAGCUACUACCGCAUACUAUCGGAUAACCCAUAUGGGGUUAGCUAGUAGGGGAGGUAAUGGCUCACCUAGGCGACGAUCCCUAGCUGGUCUGAGAGGAUGAUCAGCCACACGUGGACUGAGAAACGGCCGAGACUCGUACGGAGGCAGCAGUGGGGAAUAUAGCACAGUGGGCGCAAGCCUGAAGCAGCCAUGCCGCGUGGAUGAAGAAGGCCCUAGGGUUGUAAAGUGCUUUCAGGCGGGAGGCGGUAGCGAGAGAAGAAGCACCGUCUAACUCCGUGCCAGCAGCCGCGGUAAUUC